GAGAGAGAGAGAGAGAGAGAGAGAGAGAGAGAGAGAGAGAGAGAGAGAGAGAGAGAGAGAGCUGGUGCAGAGUUAAGGAGGCAGAGCCCAGCUGCACACCUUGCCCGGCCAAAGCGGCAGGAAGCUCCUGCACCCUCAGCCCUGUCGGAACCAGGUAGAGGUCAGAGCAGAACAAAAGGGAAAAAGAGAAAAGCCCCGCGGACCCUGACAUCAAGGGUGUAUGGCUAGAAGACCCCAUAUCUACAAUGGAGACACACGUGAACAGCCUGCUUCCACCCAGGCUGCCUCCCAGGUGGUGAGGGCACAGCCAGAGGACAAACUCUUGCAGAGAGAAGCCCUAGGCUCAGCUUCUAGCUCUUAAAAUGUCACUGUCCACCAUAAGAGAGCAAGGCAGCUCCCCACAGGGCGUGUGGAGAAGUUCAGC
rnacentral:lncRNA from 1 species